CCUACGGGGGGCUGCAGUGGGGAAUAUUGGACAAUGGGGGGAACCCUGAUCCAGCCAUGCCGCGUGUGUGAAGAAGGCCCUCGGGUUGUAAAGCACUUUCAGUGAGGAAGAACGCCUGGUGGUUAAUACCCAUCAGGAAAGACAUCACUCACAGAAGAAGCACCGGCUAACUCCGUGCCAGCAGCCGCGGUAAUACGGAGGGUGCGAGCGUUAAUCGGGAUUACUGGGCGUAAAGCGCGCGUAGGUGGCUUGAUAAGCCGGUUGUGAAAGCCCCGGGCUCAACCUGGGAACGGCAUCCGGAACUGUCAAGCUAGAGUGCAGGAGAGGAAGGUAGAAUUCCCGGUGUAGCGGUGAAAUGCGUAGAGAUCGGGAGGAAUACCAGUGGCGAAGGCGGCCUUCUGGACUGACACUGACACUGAGGUGCGAAAGCGUGGGUAGCAAACAGGAUUAGAUACCCGUGUAGUC
rnacentral:rRNA from 1 species